UACGGGGGGGGCAAGCGUUGUUCGGAAUUACUGGGCGUAAAGGGCUCGUAGGCGGCCAACUAAGUCAGACGUGAAAUCCCUCGGCUUAACUGGGGAACUGCGUCUGGGACUGGAUGGCUUGAGUGCAGGAGAGGAACGCGGAAUUCCAGGUGUAGCGGUGAAAUGCGUAGAUAUCUGGAGGAACACCGGUGGCGAAGGCGGCGUUCUGGACUGCAACUGACACUGAGGAACGAAAGCCAGGGAGCAAACGGG
rnacentral:rRNA from 1 species